AAGGGUUUAGUUAAAAAAUAACAUAGAAAUGUCAUUUCUAAAUUACAAAAAGGUACCCCUUA
rnacentral:tRNA from 1 species